ACCGCCGCGCCUCUCCUUGCCCUAAUCUCCUCUGCGCCAACCCUAGCCGCCUCCUUUCUUCUUCCCGAGACCUCGCCGGCCACCAGGUUUAACCUAGUGCCACCGCACCUCUCCGAUUCUCUGUGCCGGCGACCGAGCCUCCCUUCCUCCCCACGGCAGAGCACCACUUCUCCCCUGCCGCGACACCGAAGCCACCACCGCUGGCUCCUCCUUUCCUGCGCGCCGACGCAGAUUGCAUGCUACUACGAGCCCUAGCCGACUCCUUCCCGACGCCUUCUCUGCCCGAAGCCGAUCACCUCUUCCUCAGCCCUACCGUCGGCCUUCUCAUUUGUUGAGCGUCGGCAACCGACCAAACUCUUCUGCCCUAGAUCGUCGUUGCACGGAGCAGCACAGACACACCACAGAUCCCUCUGCCCUAGUUGGAAUCCUCCCUUCUGUGGCCUAACUCCGAAUUAGGGAAGAAACACUGCUGCUAGGGUUUUUGGGCGGUGAUCACGUUGUUGUAUUGCCACCGAAGAGUUAUAGGGUUUGUUUUACUAUGGAGUGUUCUUGGUCCGGCAACAGCCUUCCCUAGCAGUGGGACUUUGACGCGAGACGGUAUCUCGACGAGUAUCUUGAUUACCGGAUUGGAC